CGGGGCGGGGCUCCCCUCGGCUCCCGACUGCCCUUUUCCCCUGCGGUCUCUGCCCCGGCUGCUGUGUCUCUACCGAGCUCCGGACACGUGCAGGAGCAUCCAGCCGUGAACUUUCAAGCAGAUGCAGCCCCAGGAUGACUCAAAAGUAGGGCAUCCUUGGCCCUCCUGAAGAGAUGAAAUUAGUGGCAAGUGGACCAUCUAUCUGUAUGGCGUUAUCAGAUGCCUUUGCCUGAGUGAGAAACCUUCCUCCAUUGGGACCCCAGAGGUCUGAUGGCCCUUUGUGACAUCCAAAUAAGUAAUGUAUGUAGUCCUUUUGUCCUGAAGGUCCAGGAACAUCUUUUGUUCUAAUACUUGGUCUUUGAAUCUGGUUCCUGACAGUGAGCUCCUAAAUCCCCUAGAACUUCCUGGGUGAUAGUAAAGUCUUUGUUCUAA
rnacentral:lncRNA from 1 species